AUUAAAACCUGCUCCACUUGCUAUUAUGCAACAUUCUUCAAUUUUUGCAAACGUCUGAAAUAAGAUUACACUGAGUUUUUUUUUGACCAUGAAUUUUGGACGUACCUAACAAUGUUCGUCAUGAACUAUUUCAGCUCCGCACUUUCAUUUCAUCGUAUGAAAGAGUAGUUGUGUAUGAAAUAGUCUUCAAUCAAUUUUAUGUUUUGUUGUUCAGAAAACACGGAUAUUUUUAUUUUAUUUUGAGAAGGUUUUUUUCUUAAAUAGAAAUUCAAGAAUAAUUUGUAAGAGGGAAUCAUUUUUUUGGUGAUGAUUAUUUUUAAUAUUAUAUUUCAUUUGUAAAUAUAUUGCAAUGUUUUUUGUGCUUAUACAUCCCACAACCACAAGCUUUAAGCAGUCUACAAUCUGAAGCCCGAAACGGUAGAGCACUAAGAGCAGCCCACCCAUCAGCCGACAUCGUCCAUACUCGAGUUCACUCCACACACGACACGAAUCAGUCAGUAGGCCGAUUCCCAAUUCUCUAACCUAGCUGAUGCGUGACGGCGACGCCGGCCGACGACUCCAACCCUCAACUGGCCGGUGGGAGAAGCAGGACCCAGAUUUCAGUUUGUUACUCCCCUGCUCGGGUGCUCUUGACCUAGCUGCUGGUCAAUCCAUGAAUCGUCUGCUUCAAAAAACAUAUAUGUCUCGUCAACUUUGAUCUCUUUAUUUGAAUCUGGUUCUUAACAUUAUGUAAUGGGAAAACAGGAAAUAAUGUCGAGCUAGAUGGGGAUGGAGGUGAUGGCAAUGGAUCACGAUCUAUCUGAUUAUCUGAUUCCAGCACAAUCGAUUCAAAACAUUCAGAAAUUGGCGUAGAUGCUAAUAUAGUUGGUGACAUUGGUGAUGGCUCUAGAACACCUGAUUCAGCAAUUUUUGAUUUAUUUGAAGGUUGGUUAUCCAAAUCCUCUACAAUGUUCAAAUCAGCAAUGUCAUCUAUUUUCUGCAGAUACAACAUAAAUAAAAGGUACCAUAACCAAAGCAAAUCUGAAUCCAUGUUGAACAUGAUGCAAAAUUAUCUUCAUCUGACAAUACAGUGAUCCAUUCUAAAUUUCAUCAAACAGUAGACUGAAUUUCAUCAAAUGUGGGCCAGACGCUGCUGGAGCUGAAGCUGGCAAGAGAACGGGCACGAGCAGUAGCUGCAAGGCCAACCAGAGCACACGGGCACAAGCAGGAGCCCGCCGCGACGGCUCGCCCCGUCCCUGGACAUCAAAAUCAAUCAAAUCAUGUACAUAUAUUAUGAAUCGGCAUUAAAAGAAUAUGGUAUAAUCACUAUAUUCCAGCAUAAGGCACCAGUAUAAGCACUCAAAAACAAACAUGCAGUCAAACAACAUAGUAGAUCAGUGGGCAAACCCUGAUCCCACAGAAGACAACUCUUCAUCAUGUAGGAUCAAAUACCACUUGAUAGCUAAAACUAUAAUGAUGCCUCAUCAGAAAACUCAUCAAACCCAAUGUAUUCUGUGACAAAAAAAACCCUUACCUGGUUGACCUAUAUUUUUGUAUCAUAGCCCUCAAGUUGUCAAAGGGAAACACCAUUGUAGUACCCAAAUUCGACAAAUUCAUCAGGUUCUAUGCCCAUCAAGUAA